AAAUGCUGUUUAAAAUUUUUAAAAUUCUUGAAAGCGACUAACAAAAUUUUCCUCUAAAAAUUUGGUUGCGGACUUACGAAUUUAUUCUAAUGGAUUUACUAAUUUCAUAUCAAAAAGGAAAAUAUUUAAAAAAAAUUUGAAUUAUGGGUUUAAUGUUGGAAGGAAUGUAAAAAGGUGUUCAAAAUUAAAAGAAGAAGUAGACCCCUUAGAAGUAGACCCCUCCCCCUAAACGGGUUUUAAAACUGGCGGGGUCCAUUUGUGAACUGGCGUUGUUCAGUCUCGGCAGUAGCAAAGGUAUUUUAGAAGAAAGUGAGAUGCCCUGAAAAAUUUUCGUCAAGGAACUUCAUGGAAGAACGUUUAUUUCCGGUAUAUUGAAGGCAACACAGUAUGGAAUUUUUAAACACCGUAUAUAAGGAUUGGAGGACUAGAUAUUGGAGGAUUCAGAUAUUGGAGGACUUUGUUCGCCAAGGAUUCAACAAAUGACUGUCGCAACCUCUUAUACAGGAAAUUGGAAAACUCAUCCCCAUGACAAAAUCAAUCCAAGAAUAUCUAACGAUCAUACAAUUGCAGGUGUUGUCCGAAGUAAAUUCCCUGACGUCGCACAAGCAUCAGUAGGAGAUGCUGUUGAAAAGGUGGCUGAGAUAUGCUGGAGACAAAGAAGGUCGUAGAAAGAAAGGAAGAAAAAUUCUGAAGAAUAUUUCUGAAGCUGGAAUGAUAUAAAUUUUAUAAUUCUACUAUAUUAUUACUACUAUUUCUAAUACUAUUGAUAAAAUAAAUUUCUGAAAACAUUUGUCAGCAAAAGCUUUUAUAUAUUGUUAAAAUAAAUUUCCUGAAACAUUUAUUUGCUUAUUUCCUUGUUAACUGAUAAUUAUAAACACUAACAUUAAAUUAAUAUACAUGCAAAAAGAUAUUAACCAGAUAAUUACACUGAAAAUAAUG